rnacentral:lncRNA from 1 species
AUAUCGCAGCUUCUGACGAGGCCAUCAGAGCCCGUAUGAGAAUUUGGGAAAGGCAUUUGAAGUCCUGUUUAUUUGAAUCAAGCAUAAACACACUGUGCACAUGUCUGGCUGCUGGUGGGGCAGGGAGGAGGCUGGGGAGCAGAUCCUUCUGCGGUGGAUUUCAAAUGGAGAUCAGCUGGCCCGAGUGAUCGAUUACCCCGGAUGAAAAGACUCAGAGCUGUGGACUCGUAGCAGGAAGAGCCCUUAGAAACAGGGAACUGCUCUUUUUACAGUUAGGGAUACUGAAGACCAGAGAGGUGCUUGCUUGCCCAAAGUCGCGCAGCUUAGCUUGAAAGUAAAUUAUGGAAGAAUUCUGGUGGGCUUUGGGGUCAGACAGCGUUGAGUUCAAGUCCUGGAUCUAUCACUAUAUUCCUUGGCCUCAUACAUCAAAGAGGAAGAUGGAGCGGAGUCUGUUACUACGCGGAGACCCAGGCUGCAGGAGGAACGGGUGGCAACUGUCUGCGAAAUUGAGCACUUUCUGUCAAAACAUGGCCAAUGGACAGUGUCAAGCUGGAAACCCAGUAGGAUUUCUAAUUUGUCAACAGAACCCAGCACAGCCCAGAGGGAAGAGGGUUUUAAAUGGAAAGAAAGAACGCAGCAGAACUGAAGGACAAGAGGAUGUUGCUCUGCCCGUUUGCAGCAGAACAAACUAAACUUUGGGCUUUAUUUCAGGAAUGCUGGGGAAUUACCAUCUCUCAGGGUGGGAGAGGGUUGUAGAGUCUGCUCUGUCUACUCGUGUCCUGUGAUGGCUGAAUGUCCACCAAAUGACUACCAAACCUCUGUCCCAGUGGCUCGAGGGUCAGGCAGCCACUGCCUCUGGAGGCAGCUUCUAAGAACAGCCAUUCACUCGAUCAACAAACGUUAAUCAAAUGCCAAAUAGCAACAGAGCACCUGCCAGGCGAGGGACGAGGUGCUGGAGCAGUGAGACAACUGAAAUCGACUUGGUCCCUGUGCUUGUGGCACCAAGAGUCUAGUGGGGGUUAUAGACACUAAGUAAUUAAAUGCUUGGGUGAAAUAAUUAUAACUUACAAUGACUGUUAUGGGUUGAAUUGUUUU